rnacentral:rRNA from 1 species
GCGUUGGUUGUCCUGGUACUUGCAUGUAGGGGGGAAGACUUGGCAAAUCCGGUUUUCCAUAACUCUGAGGUGCGAAGUGGUUCUGACCUUUUGGUACAGAGAAGUCAUUGAUGCCCGGCUUCCAGGAAAAGCUGCUAGCCAUAACUUAUAGAGAACCGUACCGCAAACCGACACAGGUGGACAGGUAGAGAAUACUAAGGCGCUUGAGAGAACUCGGGUGAAGGAACUAGGCAAAAUGGUACCGUAACUUCGGGAGAAGGUACGCCCUUUUGGGUGAGGGCAUUUACUGUCUGAGCUUAAGAGGGCCGCAGAGACCAGGUGGCUGCGACUGUUUAUUAAAAACACAGCACUCUGCAAAUUCGUAAGAAGACGUAUAGGGUGUGACGCCUGCCCGGUGCCGGAAGGUUAAUUGAUGGGGUUAUCUUCGGAGAAGCUCUUGAUCGAAGCCCCGGUAAACGGCGGCCGUAACUAUAACGGUCCUAAGGUAGCGAAAUUCCUUGUCGGGUAAGUUCCGACCUGCACGAAUGGCGUAACGAUGGCCACACUGUCUCCACCCGAGACUCAGUGAAAUUGAAAUCGCUGUGAAGAUGCAGUGUACCCGCGGCUAGACGGAAAGACCCCGUGAACCUUUACUAUAGUUUUGCACUGGACUUUGAUGAUGACUGUGUAGGAUAGGUGGGAGGCUGUGAAGUGAGGACGCUAGUUCUCAUGGAGCCGCCCUUGAAAUACCACCCUGUUGUUAUUGAGGUUCUAACUUGGUCCAGUAAUCCUGGAUGAGGACAGUGUAUGAUGGGUAGUUUGACUGGGGCGGUCUCCUCCCAAAGAGUAACGGAGGAGCACAAAGGUACCCUCGGUACGGUCGGACAUCGUACCAAGAGUGUAAAGGCAAAAGGGUGCUUGACUGCGAGAGUGACGGCUCGAGCAGGAACGAAAGUUGGUCUUAGUGAUCCGGUGGUUCUGAAUGGAAGGGCCAUCGCUCAACGGAUAAAAGGUACUCCGGGGAUAACAGGCUGAUACCGCCCAAGAGUUCAUAUCGACGGCGGUGUUUGGCACCUCGAUGUCGGCUCAUCACAUCCUGGGGCUGAAGCAGGUCCCAAGGGUAUGGCUGUUCGCCAUUUAAAGUGGUACGCGAGCUGGGUUUAGAACGUCGUGAGACAGUUCGGUCCCUAUCUGCCGUGGGCGUAGGAAAAUUGAGAGGAGCUGCUCCUAGUACGAGAGGACCGGAGUGGACGAACCUCUGGUGCACCGGUUGUCACGCCAGUGGCAUGGCCGGGUAGCUAAGUUCGGACGGGAUAACCGCUGAAAGCAUCUAAGCGGGAAGCCUCCCUCAAGAUGAGUUUUCCCAUGAAGCCCGUUGAAGACUACGACGUUGAUAGGCAAGGUGUGGAAGCGCAGUAAUGCGUGAAGCUAACUUGUACUAAUUGGCUGAUUGUCUUGACCAUAUAAUCUGAG